rnacentral:rRNA from 1 species
GAUGAACGCUGGCGGCGUGCCUAAUACAUGCAAGUCGAGCGAACAGACGAGGAGCUUGCUCCUCUGACGUUAGCGGCGGACGGGUGAGUAACACGUGGAUAACCUACCUAUAAGACUGGGAUAACUUCGGGAAACCGGAGCUAAUACCGGAUAAUAUAUUGAACCGCAUGGUUCAAUAGUGAAAGACGGUUUUGCUGUCACUUAUAGAUGGAUCCGCGCCGCAUUAGCUAGUUGGUAAGGUAACGGCUUACCGAGGCAACGAUGCGUAGCCGACCUGAGAGGGUGAUCGGCCACACUGGAACUGAGACACGGUCCAGACUCCUACGGGAGGCAGCAGUAGGGAAUCUUCCGCAAAGGGCGAAAGCCUGACGGAGCAACGCCGCGUGAGUGAUGAAGGUCUUCGGAUCGUAAAACUCUGUUAUUAGGGAAGAACGAAUGUGUAAGUAACUAUGCACGUCUUGACGGUACCUAAUCAGAAAGCCACGGCUAACUACGUG